GACGAACGCUGGCGGCGUGCUUAACACAUGCAAGUGGAGCGACGAACCAGGGCUUGCCCUGGGGCAGAGCCGCGAACGGGUGAGUAACACGUGGGUAACCUACCCCGAUGACUGGGACAACCCGAGGAAACUCGGGCUAAUACCGGAUGUGCUCUCCACUCCUAAGGGUGGUGAGUAAAGGAAGCUUCGGCCUCCGCUUCGGGAGGGGCCCGCGGCCCAUUAGCUUGUUGGUGAGGUAACGGCUCACCAAGGCGACGAUGGGUAGCUGGUCUGAGAGGGCGAUCAGCCACACUGGGACUGAGACACGGCCCAGACUCCUACGGGAGGCAGCAGUGGGGAAUCUUGCGCAAUGCGCGAAAGCGUGACGCAGCAACGCCGCGUGGGGGAAGAAGGCCUUCGGGUUGUAAACCCCUUUCAGGAGGGACGAAGGUGCGGCGGCGAAUAGCCGUCCGUACUGACGGUACCUCCACAAGAAGCUCCGACUAACUACGUGCCAGCCGCCGCCGUAAAAC
rnacentral:rRNA from 1 species